CCUACGGGCGGCUGCAGUGAGGAAUAUUGGUCAAUGGUCGGGAGACUGAACCAGCCAAGCCGCGUGAGGGAUGAAGGUACAGAGUAUCGUAAACCUCUUUUGUCAGGGAACAAAGGCGGGGACGUGUCCCCGGAUGAGUGUACCUGAAGAAAAAGCAUCGGCUAACUCCGUGCCAGCAGCCGCGGUAAUACGGAGGAUGCGAGCGUUAUCCGGAUUUAUUGGGUUUAAAGGGUGCGCAGGCGGUCUGUUAAGUCAGCGGUAAAAACCCGGGGCUCAACCCCGUCCCGCCGUUGAAACUGGCAGUCUCGAGUUGGAGAGAAGUAUGCGGAAUGCGCGGUGUAGCGGUGAAAUGCAUAGAUAUCACGCAGAACUCCGAUUGCGAAGGCAGCAUACCGGCGCCCAACUGACGCUGAAGCACGAAAGCGUGGGUAUCGAACAGGAUUAGAUACCCCUGUAGUC
rnacentral:rRNA from 1 species